UCAGUAACACGUAGUCAACAUGCCCAGGGGACGUGGUAUAACCUCGGGAAACUGAGGAUAAACCGCGAUAGGUCACUACUUCUGGAAUGGGUAAUGACCCAAACCUAUAUGGCCCCUGGAUUGGACUGCGGCCGAUCAGGCUGUUGGUGAGGUAAUGGCCCACCAAACCUGUAACCGGUACGGGCUCUGAGAGGAGGGGUCCCGGAGAUGGGCACUGAGACAAGGGCCCAGCCCUAUGGGGCGCAGCAGGCGCGAAACCUCUGCAAUAGGCGAUAAGCUUGUACAGGGUUACUCUGAGUGAUUUCCGUUAAGGAGAUCUUUUGGCACCUCUAAAAAUGGUGNCAGAAUAAGGGGUGGCAAGUCUGGUUUC
rnacentral:rRNA from 1 species